GUGUUCCAUAUGUGUGUAUAUAAUUUUAAUUAAUUUAUAUAUAUAUAAAAUAUGAUGAAGAUAAUAAACGUUCAUGAAAUUAUCUCACAGUAGUAUUAGUUAUUACACGAAACGAUACGUUUAUCGCAUACAAUCGGUAUAAUUUGAAAAGUACUCAUUGAUGGCGCUAAAAUCGCCGUGAUAACGUUUAAAAUAGAAGUCAUUAGAGAUAAAAAAAGAGAGAGAAAGAGAGAGAGAGAGAGAGAGAGAGAGAGAGAGAGAGAGAGAGAGAGAGAGAGAGAGAGAGAAUGAAUAAAAAUAAAAGGAAAGAAAAAAAAUUCCCGACAACGCUGAAAAUGAUACCAUAAGCAUCGUCAUCACGUUCACCGAUAUAAUAAUCGCAUAACCGUGCACGUUUCAUCGUCCUCCUCGUUGUCUCGCGUUGUCCAUGUUUUCGCAUAAUAUUACACGGCGAGUAAACGCAACUGCCGUGCGCGCGCGUGACGUCACUUUCUGCGUCGGCAACGUCGGCGGAAACGUAAGUUUUGCGAAGAAACACGCAGUACCGACGGCUGCUCGCGUAAUGGCUGCUUGACCAAGGUCAACGUUCUCUUCGUCAAUCAGACGAAAAUUUGUCACGUGCAUUAAAGAGAGCUUGUAACAUUUGUUUUUCUUCUUAGGUAGAUAGAUUACAUCGAAUAAUAACGAAUGCAUUUUAUUCAUAUUUUUUUUUUUUAUUUUUAUUUUUUUUUAAUUAUACUUUUAGAAAUAUUUUAUAACAAUGAUAAAAAAGUUAUGUCCAUUGAUCGUCCCGUCAAAAAAAUCGAACGUUUGCGAAAGAAAUUAAAGCAAAAUAAAGAGGAAAGAAAGAGAAAGAACGUGCUCAUUCGAAAAGAGUAAACGAUCGUUUCUUCUGUUUGAUUUUUUUUACAUAAUAAUCAUCCCGUUCCCCGUCGUCCCUGUCGCGUAACGCUGACGUCAGUGGACUCAGGCGUCGCGCCAGUCAACCGUCGACGACGAAGGAAUUCCUUCUCUUUGCGAAGAAAGCGUGAAGCGCCGAGAGCAACCGGCUACGCCCGAUCGAAAGACAGUCGCGCGAUACGAGGAGAUACGACACGACGCGACAUAACGCGACGCGACACGGCGGACGCGAAAGGGUGUAGAGACAUGCGACACGACGCGACGCGAUGCCGUCUUAUUGCAAGACGGCAACGCUGUACAACGUUCCUCUCUUUUCUAGGUUCAAGGGUACGGAACGGAGAUCGUUUGUCUUCUUUUUCUUCUUCUUCUCCUUAUUCUUUUUGUCUUCCUACGAUCUAUCUACGUAUAUGUGUACAUGUCAUAUAUGUACGUAUGUAUAUAUGUGUGGUAUGGUAACAUGUAUGGUGUGUAUGUAUGGAUGAUGUAUGGAUAUUGUAUAUGUAGAUGUAUGCAUGUAUGUAUGUACGAAUGUAUAUGUGUAUGUAUGUAUGUAUAUAUAUAUAUCCAUGUAUGUAUGUGAUAGACGGAAAACAAUCGGGGAGAGCCUGAGGAACAUUGGGGUGCCGAGUCAGUCCGCUUUUAUCCAACGGGAAACUUCUCGAACGUGCUUGCGCUUACGUGCAUUCUUUAUUCCUUUUGUUAUGUUGUUAUUUUUGUUGUUUUUGUUUGACUUUAUUUUUCUUUCGCUUCUUUUUCUAUUAUCAUAUCACGUCACGAAACCGAAGCUUUUGAAUUGGCUGAAUACUGUCGAUAAAGUAGAUAUAAGAAAUGACGAAGCGCGAGAUUUUAAUUACGUUCAAAUAUAUUGUCAAUGUUUUCUUCUUUCGUUAUAAUUUCUUGAUGUUCUUUAACACUUAAUACAUCGUUGUUUGUACAUGUAAUAUUACGUAGACGAGAUUUUUAAAAAGGCAAUAGAUUGUUAGGUUUGGUGAAAAAUAAGAGGAGCAGAAUCAAAUAACAUGAUAUUUGAUGAUCCGAAUGAUAUGGUGUAUAUACAUAUAUACAUACAUACAUGUCUACUUAUAUACGUACAUAUUUUAUCUAAUUUGGCUUGGCAAAAUAAUGAGGUCUAUCAAAUGAAAUAUGACAUAAGAUUAUAUACAUUUCAAAUUUAGGAGUGUGAGGGAUUAUAAUAGUUUUCUUAAUAUUACGUGCAUAUAUAUAUAUAUAUAUAUAUAUAUACAUACAUACACAUACAUAUAUAUAUCUAUAGCAAGAAAGGCAAUGCAGAGGAAAAUGCAAAAAUCUAUGUGAAACCCUAGGUAAAUCGAUUCCUUUGUUCGAGUUGCACGUUAUACAUUGCGCAUUCAUAGUAUAACAUCUGCUUAAUCGUACAAUAGUCCCAGUAGAGAGAGAGAGGAAAGGGAAGAGAAAGAGAGAAUACGUUCCGUUGGAUCCUUUAUUGCGUCUCAAAGAGCACGGAGCUCAGAACUGAAAAGGGAUCCCUCCAAAAUCUUUAAGACGGUACAAAACAUCUGUCCCUUUCCCUUUUUCGUAGUCACAUAGAGAAAGAGAGAAGAUUUGCGUGUGACCUCUUCCCCCCUUUUUUUUUAUCGUAAAGAGAACUCAAAAGUAGGGUUUUAUUGUGAUCGUCAAGUAAAACAGGAAGCACGAUGACUGACAUCUGCUUUACGUCACGUACUAUUUCUUAAGAAAUCUAAGAUUGCCAUGACAGAAUUAUUUUUAAGAUCAUAAGUUCAAAUGAGUUCUAAAGAACGAAAAAAAAUUGAAAGGAAAAAAGGGAAAAAAAUUGAAAAACCAUUCGUUCUUUUUUUUCAGUCCAAUUGAACUAAUUAUAUUAUUCUAUCAUUAUACUAAUUAUAUCAUUCGAAUCGAGUAAUUGAUCGAAUUAAUUAUUAACUAAUAUAAAUAUCUAAGAAAUAAACAUGUUUAAUGGCAUCGUCGUAAAAAUUGUUUUUCAAUCGUCUAAUAAAAAUAAAAUAUCAUUAUUUUAUAAUACUAUGAUGACAAAUAUAGGUGUUAUAUAUUAGUAAAAAUAAUAUAUUCUAUAUAAUAAUGAAAAUAUUCGACGCAACCCUGAUCAAUUUUGAAUUAACAAAGGAAAUCGUCAGCCUCUUUAGCUCAGUGGCAGAGCACUGGUCUCGUAAACCAGGGGUCGUGAGUUCAAACCUCACAGGAGGCAAUCUUUUUUUUCUCUUCAUUAUUUCUCCUCGUUUUACUUCAUUUGUUGGAUAAAUUACUAUAAGUGAAAUUGCGAUAAGUAAGUUUAUCGCGAUAUUUUUUCCAAUUUUUAUCUAUCGAAUCUUCGAAAACCUUUUUUUCGUUUUGUUAUUCGAAAAAAUAAAUUUCGAGUAUGAUAAAUAAUUCCAAAGAAAUUAUAUAUUUUUAUAUAAUUAUAUAAUUAUAUAAUUAUAAGAAAAUAUAUAUAUAUAUAUAAUAUAAUGUCUAAUUUUUAAUUAAUUAAAUAAAUAAACAUUUCUGGGAGUAUUAAGUCAAUAGGAGGAAAUAGAAUAGAUAGAAAUAUAGGAAUAAUUAAAAGGUGCCUCUUGGAUACAUGGCAAUCUCGAAUUCUGUCUGCGCACUGGAGUCUACAAAUGCGAGCCACGUAACGCGAACCCGUGCGUUCUCGAUAUUCAAGAGUUACACUCAGCGGCGGAGACGGAGGCGGUGGCGGUGGUGGCGGUGGCGGCAGCGCCGACGAGCAAUUCUGUUUCCGUAAAAUGUGUCUGCAAAGUGAAAAGGCUCGAGAAAGUAAUAGCUCUGAAUUUUCAAAUACAUAUUCUUCUUUAAGCUAAACGACGGAGAGCAAAAGUUACGAUUUCACUCACGAAAUAUUCACACUGGCCUCUGUCACCCCGUCAAAGCCGAUAAAAUAUAUGGAUGGACACAUACUGGAAGGAGGAAUGGUGUGUAUAAACCGUAUCGACGUAAUAUACGUGCGAUAUUCUAUCAGCUGCAUUGGUAAAUAACAUUUCAGCUUAUGGCCGCAGCUGUCGAUGAUAAUACGUAUAACCGUGCGUUUUCAAGUUCUCUUACCUCUUUAUCGUAACUACCAUCUAUCACCACCCCCAACUCCAACUCCAAUUCCAUCUUAAUCUCAUCCCCCUUACCUCCAUUCUUACUGCGAUGGAUUUGGAUUUUUAUAAUUGUUGCCGUUAUUUUCGGGAACGAAUUAUAACAAAUCGAAGCACAACUACUAAAUAAAUACGUUUCAUGGUACUUCAUUUUUAAAAGGUAACGUAAGAAACAAUAUGGCGG